AGGGUUUGAUUCUGGCUCAGAUUGAACGCUGGCGGUAUGCUUAACACAUGCAAGUCGAACGGAAACGAAACUAGCUUGCUAGUAGGCGUCGAGUGGCGGACGGGUGAGUAACGCGUAGGAAUCUGCCUGAUAGUGGGGGAUAGCCCGAAGAAAUUCGGAUUAAUACCGCAUAAUCUAUUCGUAGUAAAGUGGGGGACUUUCGAGCCUCACGCUAUCAGAUGAGCCUGCGUAAGAUUAGCUUGUUGGUAGGGUAAAAGCCUACCAAGGCAACGAUCUUUAGCUGGCCUGAGAGGAUGAUCAGCCACAUCGGGACUGAGACACGGCCCGAACUCCUACGGGAGGCAGCAGUGGGGAAUAUUGGACAAUGGGGGCAACCCUGGUCCAGCAAUACCGCGUGUGUGAAGAAGGCCUGAGGGUUGUAAAGCACUUUCAAUUGUGAAGAAAAGUUAGCGGUUAAUAACCGUUGACCUUGACGUUAACUUUAGAAGAAGCACCGGCUAACUCCGUGCCAGCCGCCGCGGUAAUAC
rnacentral:rRNA from 1 species